UUUAAAUAGAAUAGUAUUCCGUAGACAGUAGGUGCAUUUGCAUAAAGGGUUUCCAACCUACCGAGGGUUCCAAUAUAGAUAUAAACAAUUGGUCUCUCCGCGUCUACGGAGGGACUUUUAAUUUUACUAA
rfam:Clostridium sp. TSBA 49 genome assembly, contig: Ga0111601_122